ensembl:lncRNA
CUGGACUCCGGAGCGGAUGAGAGUUUUAUUGAUCGGGAGCUGGUUCUUCGCUUUGGGAUUAACACUGUUCCUCUGGAUCCUCCUAUCGAGACCCAGGCUCUGGACGGGAGGACCCUCACGCGGGUGGAGCGCCGCACCGUUCUGGUCAAACUGCUUGUUUCGGGGAAUCAUCACGAGUCCAUCUCGCUUCUAGUUAUUACCAGUCCCUUCUCUCCGGUGGUUCUGGGUUACCCCUGGCUCAAGACACACAACCCCCAGAUGGAUUGGGGAACCGGUCGAGUGGUUUCCUGGAGCACACACUGUCUGUCCCAUUGUUUGCGGUCCGCCCAGUCACCUCGGGCGCCGGAGCUCGCGUCUGCCGCCGUCCCUCCUGACCUGUCCUCCGUUCCGGAGGAGUACCACGACCUUGGGGAAGUGUUCAGUAUGUCCCGCGCCUUGUCCCUGCCCCCCCACCGUUCUUAUGACUGCGCCAUCGACCUCCUUUCCGGAGCUCCUCUUCCGGGGAGUCGUCUAUUCAAUCUCUCCCGGCCCGAGCGCGAGUCCAUGGAGGAGUACAUCGGGGAGUCCCUCUCCACUGGGAUCAUCCGCACUUCCUCUUCGCCGGUUGGAGCGGGGUUCUUCUUUGUUGGGAAGAAGGACGGUUCGCUUCGUCCCUGCAUUGACUACCGGGGGCUGAACACUAUCACCGUGAAGAACAGAUCCGUGGAGGAGCACAGGGUUCACGUCCGGCAGGUACUUCAGCGGUUGCUGGAGAAUCGUCUUUACGUCAAGGCGGAGAAGUGCGACUUCCACGUCUCAUCCAUCUCAUUCCUGGGCUACAUCAUCGGUCAGGGCCAGAUCAGGAUGGAUCCUUCCAAGGUUUCAGCGGUGGCCGAGUGGACCUCCCCUCCGACCCGCAAGAGGCUGCAACAGUUCCUGGGCUUUGCAAAUUUUUAUAGACGGUUCAUUCGGGGCUGAGUCAGUGACAAAUAAGGUCUGGCAUGAUGACCAUUUCAAAAAUAUGUUUCAAACCUAUUAAAACAACAUGCCCAAGGACCGUUAGAAUGUAUAUUUUGCAUUACUGUUGGUUUCAUAGUAUUUGACAUGACAUUUUUACCAUUUUUAACCAAAUACAGAACCAAAUGGCCCUUUAUAUUGUCAAAUGGUGUAACCAUAAAUAAAUGACAAAUAUUCAAUAUUUCACCCUCCUAGAUUCUAUGUAAGUGUACUCAUGAAAACAAGUAAUACAUUUUUAAAUAUCACAUGAAAUAGUUUUUAUUAUAAUUAUUUUUAGAUUUAGAUU